rnacentral:rRNA from 1 species
AGUGAACGCUGGCGGUAGGCCUAACACAUGCAAGUCGAACGGCAGCACAGUAAGAGCUUGCUCUUACGGGUGGCGAGUGGCGGACGGGUGAGGAAUACAUCGGAAUCUACUUUUUCGUGGGGGAUAACGUAGGGAAACUUACGCUAAUACCGCAUACGACCUACGGGUGAAAGCAGGGGAUCUUCGGACCUUGCGCGAUUGAAUGAGCCGAUGUCGGAUUAGCUAGUUGGCGGGGUAAAGGCCCACCAAGGCGACGAUCCGUAGCUGGUCUGAGAGGAUGAUCAGUCACACUGGAACUGAGACACGGUCCAGACUCCUACGGGAGGCAGCAGUGGGGAAUAUUGGACAAUGGGCGCAAGCCUGAUCCAGCCAUGCCGCGUGGGUGAAGAAGGUCUUCGGGUUGUAAAGCCCUUUUAUUGGGGAAGAAAAGCAGUAAGUUAAUACCUUGCUGUUUUGACGGUACCCACAGAAUAAGCACCGGCUAACUUCGUG